CCUACGGGUGGCUGCAGUGGGGAAUAUUGGACAAUGGGGGGAACCCUGAUCCAGCCAUGCCGCGUGUGUGAAGAAGGCCCUCGGGUUGUAAAGCACUUUCAGUGAGGAAGAACGCCUGGUGGUUAAUACCCAUCAGGAAAGACAUCACUCACAGAAGAAGCACCGGCUAACUCCGUGCCAGCAGCCGCAGUAAUACGGAGGGUGCGAGCGUUAAUCGGAAUUACUGGGCGUAAAGCGCGCGUAGGUGGCUUGAUAAGCCGGUUGUGAAAGCCCCGGGCUCAACCUGGGAACGGCAUCCGGAACUGUCAAGCUAGAGUGCAGGAGAGGAAGGUAGAAUUCCCGGUGUAGCGGUGAAAUGCGUAGAGAUCGGGAGGAAUACCAGUGGCGAAGGCGGCCUUCUGGACUGACACUGACACUGAGGUGCGAAAGCGUGGGUAGCAAACAGGAUUAGAUACCCCGGUAGUC
rnacentral:rRNA from 1 species